GCUCCGGCCUCUGCUCUGUCCUCCCUCUUGCUCUGCCUCCCCUGUUUCUCAGGGGCCUGGAUGCCUCUCGCUCUGGCCAAAUGCCUUCAACAAAGAUGACUUCCCACUCCGUCAGGGAGACACUUCCUGGAGACCCGUGUCGUGAUUGUUUCUCUUUCAAAAAGUAUUUCCGCUUGAUUGGGUAGGUCUAAUGACCCGGGAGCUCUUGGCUUCCAUAGGUGUCUCAGGCAGGGAAGCUUCCUUCUUCUCCACAUUUCCCCUCAUGGGUGGGUGGAUUGCCUAGAAUGAGCUCUAGGCGACCGUGACUGGCCUUGUCUUCCACGACAGGUGGUGUCGCAUUUCCUCUGCACUUCCUGUCUCAUUCUUGAGGGACAUCCUCUCCUCUGCUCCUGGGUGGACUGACUCCCUUGAUCUUCUGGCCAAAACGAAUGUCAGGGAACCAAAGGGACUGGGCUAGGGCUGGGGGCUGGGACUGGGGCUGGGGCUGGGUGCAGCCGAUGUUGCGUCAGGGCUACCGGGUUGGUGGAGGAUUGGGGUUGUUGCGAAUUUUGCAGAAACCUCUUUGCUCCUCCGGUAGGCAUUUGAAAACGUGGCUUGGCUCAGGCACAGGCAGCACCCCGACCCACGGGGUCACAGGUGUUCUUUGAUUUUCCUUGGCAUUGAUGGAAAGGUCACCUGUUUCCCCCUUCCACCUGCACAUGCCUGGACAGCACCCUUUGUUUCGCCAUCGCCCUGUAUGCCUCCGGUGACACACAUUAACACCAACUGCUGUGGGAUAGGCCAGUCACGGUCGCCUAGCGCUCAUUCUAGGUAAUCCACCCACCCAUGAGGGGAAACGUGGAGAAGACACCUGCCUGAGACACCUAUGGAAGCCAAGUGUUCCCGGGCCAUGAGACCUGCCCAAUCAAGCAGAAACACAUUUGGAGAGACAAACAAUCACGACACGGGUCUCCAGGAAGUGUCUCCCUGACGGAGUGGGAAGUCAUCUUAGUUGAAGGCAUUUGGCCAGAGCGAGAGGCAUCCAGGUCCCUGAGAAACAGGGGAGGCAGAGCAAGAGGGAGGACAGAGCAGAGGCCGGAGCCCAGGCAGGAUACAGCACCUUGCCACCGUCACAGGCAUAAGGGGUGGGGUUCCUAAAGGGUGGCUUGUGCAGGGAGGCCAGCGUUCCAGGGACAGGGAUUGUUGCCAUCUCUCAUUCCUGGCUUCCUCUUGCUGACUGUAUCGUGGUGUGGCUUCAUUUCUCAGAGAAGAGCCGCGAAAAGACUCAAACAUCUUCUCUGACGUGGGUCCGCUGAUCUCCUGUGGGACAAAGAGCUCCUGUGGGGCUCUUGUCCUCAUCUGCAGUGUGUUCCUCUUGAUGCUAGAAAAGAGGACGCUCAGGAUGGGGACGAGACAGCAAUUGCUCCAAGACCGACGCAUCUUCUCACGUGGGCCAGGCUUUCACGCAGCCAAAGCAGAUCCGCGGGGGCGAAAACGAUUGACAACCGGCCUCAUGACCCAGGCAGAGACACAGAAAGAGGUUCAACAAAGACAGGCCGCCAUGCAAGAGACAGCUCUGUGGUUCACAGGGCAUAUUCAGCCAAAGACACACAAGCACACGGGCACACACACACAAACCCACAGAGAGUGGGAAAGAAACACACAGAGACUGAGAGACAGAGAGAGAAGGGAGAAUGGGAGACACACACACACACAAACAAAGGGUCAUACAGCAGAGGCAUUGAAACACACACCACCAGGCAACCCCUGAGGCUGCGGGGUUCUGCUGUCAACCAGAACGACCCUCGGGUGAAAGAGCAGCCCAGGGGCACGCAGGCCAACCGGUCCUCGAGAUCACGGACGGCGGCACGACAUUUGGGGAGACUCACUCCAACCAACACCGUCCGGGCAGGCCUGAGGCUGGGAGCCCCUGCUGCUUCCCCCGUCUCCGCCUGGGGGAGCCCACCACCUACCCACCCUCCAUUCACCUCCCCUCCUUAAGGCUCACUAAGCUCUAUUUACCUUUUGUAACUCCAUCCCUCCGUAAGUACACAACUCUCCUAGCUGGUUUCCUAGAGGGCAGAUACAGUGUUUCCAGUUGGCCCUCUGCAGAUAUCUAUGAACAAGUCUCUCCCAGCCCCUACAUAUAAAUAUGUGUGUUCUAGACAGACGGGCCUAAGUCCCAAUGUAAACACAUCACAAGAUAAUUACACCUUAUAUGCAUACAGAUCUCUCUAUAGAGUUAUAUUUGAAAGUGUCUAUAACUCUAGAGAGAGAUUGCAGCAUGCACAUAUAGGACUGUAAUUACUUAUAUGUAUUUUUAUAACUAUGUAGUUAUAAAUAGAUAUGCCUAUAUAUAGUGAUAAUAAUAUAGCAAUAUCUCCAUAGCCAUAUAUGGCUCUAAAUGAAUGCUCUAACUACUCUAUUUCACAAUCAAUAAGUAUAUAUCUUCUGAUACAUAAUUCUAACAAUAUACGUUUUUAUCUAUAUAGCUGUUCAGAGAUAUAAAUCUGUCAGGAUAUCAAAUGUACAUAAAGCUGGAUGGCUGUAAGAGAGUCGUAUAUUUUCCCAUAUAUAAAUCU
rnacentral:lncRNA from 10 species